rnacentral:rRNA from 1 species
AGUGGCGGCUGGAUCACCUNCUCUACGUGGGCAAUCUGCCCUGCACUCUGGGACAAGCCCUGGAAACGGGGUCUAAUACCGGAUAACACUUCGGGCCUCAUGGUCUGUGGUUAAAAGCUCCGGCGGUGCAGGAUGAGCCCGCGGCCUAUCANCUUCGUUGGNGAGGUAAUGGCUCACCAAGGCGACGACGGGUACCCGGCCUGAGAGGGCGACCGGCCACACUGGGACUGAGACACGGCCCAGACUCCUACGGGAGGCAGCAGUGGGGAAUAUUGCACAAUGGGCGAAAGUCUGAUGCAGCGACGCCCGUGUGAGGGAUGACGCGCCUUCGGGUUGUAAACCUCUUUCAGCACGGGAAGAAGCGAAAGUGACGGUACCUGCAAAAGAAGCGCCGGCUAACUACGUGCCAGCANCCGCGGUAA